UACAGAGGUGGCAAGCGUUGUUCGGAUUUAUUGGGCGUAGAGGGUCCGUAGGCGGCUUGGAAAGUCGGAUGUGAAAUCCCACAGCUUAACUGUGGAACUGCAUUCGAAACUUCCAGGCUCGAGUGUGAUAGGGGUAAAGGGAAUUCCCGGUGUAAGAGUGAAAUCUGUAGAGAUCGGGAGGAACACCAGUCGCGUAGGCGCUUUACUGGAUCACCACUGACGCUGAGGGGCGAAAGCCAGGGGAGCAAACGGG
rnacentral:misc_RNA from 1 species